CGUCUCGACGAUGAGGAACUCGUCUCCUACAUCCUGGCUGGCCUGGACAUCGAGUUCAACCCGGUGGUCACUUCAGUGGCUUCUCGCAAUGAGCUGAUCUCCGUCGGAAGCUGUUCGCCCAGAUCGUUAGCUUUGAGA
rnacentral:snoRNA from 1 species